rnacentral:tRNA from 1 species
GGCCCCUUGGUCAAGCGGCUAAGACACCGCCCUUUCACGGCGGUAACACGGGUUCGAAUCCCGUAGGGGUCA